rnacentral:rRNA from 1 species
GACGAACGCUGGCGGCGUGCCUAAUACAUGCAAGUAGAACGCUGAAGGAGGAGCUUGCUCUUCUGGAUGAGUUGCGAACGGGUGAGUAACGCGUAGGUAACCUGCCUGGUAGCGGGGGAUAACUAUUGGAAACGAUAGCUAAUACCGCAUAAGAGUAGAUGUUGCAUGACAUUUGCUUAAAAGGUGCAAUUGCAUCACUACCAGAUGGACCUGCGUUGUAUUAGCUAGUUGGUGGGGUAACGGCUCACCAAGGCGACGAUACAUAGCCGACCUGAGAGGGGGAUCGGCCACACUGGGACUGAGACACGGCCCAGACUCCUACGGGAGGCAGCAGUAGGGAAUCUUCGGCAAUGGACGGAAGUCUGACCGAGCAACGCCGCGUGAGUGAAGAAGGUUUUCGGAUCGUAAAGCUCUGUUGUAAGAGAAGAACGAGUGUGAGAGUGGAAAGUUCACACUGUGACGGUAGCUUACCAGAAAGGGACGGCUAACUACGUG